rnacentral:misc_RNA from 1 species
GGGCCAGUUUUGCUUCUGACA